rnacentral:rRNA from 1 species
AUCGGAGUCUGCAACCCGACUCCGUGAAGCUGGAUUCGCUAGUAAUCGCGCAUCAGCCAUGGCGCGGUGAAUACGUUCCCGGGCCUUGUACACACCGCCCGUCACACCAUGAGAGUUUGUAACACCCAAAGCCGGUGGGGUAACCUUUUGGAGCCAGCCGUCUAAGGUGGGACAGAUGAUUGGGGUGAAGUCGUAACAAGGUACC